UGAGGAAUAUUGGUCAAUGGACGAGAGUCUGAACCAGCCAAGUAGCGUGAAGGAUGACUGCCCUAUGGGUUGUAAACUUCUUUUAUACGGGAAUAAAGUGAGGCACGUGUGCCUUUUUGUAUGUACCGUAUGAAUAAGGAUCGGCUAACUCCGUGCCAGCAGCCGCGGUAAUACGGAGGAUCCGAGCGUUAUCCGGAUUUAUUGGGUUUAAAGGGAGCGUAGGCGGACGCUUAAGUCAGUUGUGAAAGUUUGCGGCUCAACCGUAAAAUUGCAGUUGAUACUGGGUGUCUUGAGUACAGUAGAGGCAGGCGGAAUUCGUGGUGUAGCGGUGAAAUGCUUAGAUAUCACGAAGAACUCCGAUUGCGAAGGCAGCUUGCUGGACUGUAACUGACGCUGAUGCUCGAAAGUGUGGGUAUCAAACAGGAUUAGAUACCCUGGUAGUCCACACAGUAAACGAUGAAUACUCGCUGUUUGCGAUAUACAGUAAGCGGCCAAGCGAAAGCGUUAAGUAUUCCACCUGGGGAGUACGCCGGCAACGGUGAAACUCAAAGGAAUUGACGGGGGCCCGCACAAGCGGAGGAACAUGUGGUUUAAUUCGAUGAUACGCGAGGAACCUUACCCGGGCUUGAAUUGCAACUGAAUGAUGUGGAGACAUGUCAGCCGCAAGGCAGUUGUGAAGGUGCUGCAUGGUUGUCGUCAGCUCGUGCCGUGAGGUGUCGGCUUAAGUGCCAUAACGAGCGCAACCCUUAUCGAUAGUUACCAUCAGGUUAUGCUGGGGACUCUGUCGAGACUGCCGUCGUAAGAUGUGAGGAAGGUGGGGAUGACGUCAAAUCAGUACGGCCCUUACGUCCGGGGCUACACACGUGUUACAAUGGGGGGUACAGAAGGCAGCUACACGGCGACGUGGUGCUAAUCCCGAAAGCCUCUCUCAGUUCGGAUUGGAGUCUGCAACCCGACUCCAUGAAGCUGGAUUCGCUAGUAAUCGCGCAUCAGCCACGGCGCGGUGAAUACGUUCCC
rnacentral:rRNA from 1 species